UGGAAGUAAAAAAUCGUAACAAGGUCUCCGUAGGUGAACCUGCGGAGGGAUCAUUACACAAAUAUGAAGGCGGGCUGGAACCUCUCGGGGUUACAGCCUUGCUGAAUUAUUCACCCUUGUCUUUUGCGUACUUCUUGUUUCCUUGGUGGGUUCGCCCACCACUAGGACAAACAUAAACCUUUUGUAAUUGCAAUCAGCGUCAGUAACAAAUUAAUAAUUACAACUUUCAACAACGGAUCUCUUGGUUCUGGCAUCGAUGAAGAACGCAGCGAAAUGCGAUAAGUAGUGUGAAUUGCAGAAUUCAGUGAAUCAUCGAAUCUUUGAACGCACAUUGCGCCCUUUGGUAUUCCAAAGGGCAUGCCUGUUCGAGCGUCAUUUGUACCCUCAAGCUUUGCUUGGUGUUGGGCGUCUUGUCUCUAGCUUUGCUGGAGACUCGCCUUAAAGUAAUUGGCAGCCGGCCUACUGGUUUCGGAGCGCAGCACAAGUCGCACUCUCUAUCAGCAAAGGUCUAGCAUCCAUUAAGCCUUUUUUUCAACUUUUGACCUCGGAUCAGGUAGGGAUACCCGCUGAACUUAAGCAUAUCAAAAGCCCGGAGGAAAAU
rnacentral:rRNA from 1 species